GUCCUUUCUUAGUCUGGCUUAUUUUCCUUAGCGUGAUGUCCUCAAGGCACGCUCGUGUUGGAGCACUGCUAGUGUUAGAAUUCCUUCUUUUUUAAGGUUGAAAAAUAUCCCAUUGAAUGGUUAGACCACAUUUUGUUUCUUCAACUCAUCCAUCGAUGGACGUCUGGCCGUUCCCACCUUUUGGCUAUUGUGAAUAAUGCCGUGAAGAACACGGCAUGUACAAAUAUCUGAGUUCCUUGUUUCAACUCUUGCGGUGACAUAUCCAGAAGUGGAAUUGAUGGGUCAUAUGGAGAGAGAGACAGCAUGUGAGCGGGGGAGGAGCAGAGAGAGAGAGAGAGAGAGAGAGAGAGAGAGAGAGACAGAAUCGGAUGCAGGCUCCGGGCUCUGAGCUGUCAGCACAGAGCCCGAUGCGGGGCUCAAACUCACAGACCGCGAUAUCAUGACCUGAGCCGAAGUCGGACGCUCAACCGACGGAGCCACCCAGGCGCCCCAACUUAAUUGUGAACACCGACGGGAAGUAGAUGAGAGGUUGCCUCGGGCUAGAGGGAAUGGGGGAGAAUGGAGAGUGACAGUUAAAGGAUAGAGGUUUCUUUCAGAGGGGAUGGUCGCACAAUUCUGUGAAUAUACUAAAAAACAAUGAACGGGAUGCUUUAAAUGGGUGAAUUGGGUAGUAUAUGAAUUAGAGCCCAAUAAAGCUGUUAUAAAAUAAACAACAACGGAAAAAAUGUAACUUAUUUCGGUUUCUGUAACGGAGGAUACACACUCAUAAAUGAUACUAAAUUGAGUCUUCCUAUGAACCCAAGGCAACAACAACAACAACGAAGGAUGGUUCUGCUUAGCGGAGAGGAACAGGAAUCCUCUCCCUCAAGAAGAUGGCUCAGUGCAUCGGCCUGCAACUUUACAAAUCAGACAGCAGCGCCCCACCCCAGAGCAUCUCGGUUGGCCAGUCUGGGGUGUGGCUGGGCUUAUGGAUUUUUUGAUGCUUCUGGGUGAUUCUUAUGGGCAGCAAUGUUGAACAUCACACGGCGACAGAGGAAUGAGCUGGCUGAUGUCCCGAUGUCCUGCAGCCCUGAUAAGCCAAGAUCUUCUAUGUGUGGCUAGGAGGAUAGGCUCCCAAGAACAAUGGUUUCCAAACUGUGUUCCUAGGAACCCUGAGGAUUUGCAGGAGAGACCAAAUGGGAACGUUCUGGGUCCUUCACCCCGUGUCCACCAGAGCAUACCUGCAUUUACUGCUUCAUCUCAGUGUUCAAGACAAGCCUUUGUUUUGUUUGUUUCGUUUUGUUUUAAAGCUAUCUCUGUGCUGGGGGCACCUGGCUGGCUCAGUUGGAAAAGCAUGAGACUCUUGAUCUCGGGGUUGUGAGUUAGAGCCCCACAUCGGGUAUAGAGAUUGCGUAAAAAUAAAACCUUUGGGGUGCCUGGGGGGCUCAGUUAAGUGUCCGACUCUUGAUUUCAGCUCAGGACAUGAUUUCACAGUUCAUCAGUUCCAGCCCUGCAUAUGGCUCUGUGCUGACAGCGUGGAACCUGUUUGGCAUUCUCUCUGUCUCUCCCUCUCUACCCCUUCCCCAUUUGCAUGCUUUCUCUCUGUCUCAGAAUAAAUAA